UAUUCAUCAUCCACCAUCAAUAUUUACCACCUCCUCAUCAAUAUUCAUCGCGGUUCAUUAAUACUCAUCGUCUCUCAUCAAUAUUCAUCACACCCCACAAAUACUCAUCGUCUCCUCAUUAAUAUUCAUCGCGAUCUCAUUAAUAUUCAUCGCCUCUCAUCAAUAUUCACCACCCCACUCACCUCCUCAUCAAUAUUCAUCAACCCUAUCAAUAUUAACCGCUCCAUCAAUAUUCAUCACCACAUCAUUUUCAUCAUCUCCUCAUCAAUAUUCAUCAACCCCAUCAAUAUUAACCGCUCCAUCAAUAUCCAUCACCCCUCAUUAAUAUUCAUCACCCUCAUUAAUAUUCAUCACCCCUCUCCCCGUUUCCCGCCAAGUCCCUUUUCUCCCCCCCGCUUCCGGUUCCGAACACGUGAUCGAUGCGGUUCUUCCGGUCCCACACGACGUUCCCCCGGUACCGGAUGCGCUGGAUCCGAUGUUCCGGUACCGGCAGCUCGUCGGGUCCGGCGUCACACAACGGACCGUGGUAAAGGUCGGACAUGGGCCGCUCCACGAGGCCCCGGAACCGGUCCCGGUAUUGAACCGAACCGAACCCCGGCUCCAGUGCCGGGUCCCAACGGAUCCGGUUCAGCACGUCGGCGGCGCGGCGUAAUGGCGGCUUCUUCCCUUCCGGUUCCGGUUCGUCACGGUUCGUUUCCGGUUCCGGGUUCGUUUCCGGUUCGUCCCGGUUCGGUUCCGGUUCCGGUUGGGCAGAUCCCGGAUGUAGGUUCCGGCAGCGCGACCCGAACCGGCACCGACCCUCCAGGAACCAACGGCAACAAGAGACCGGAACCGGGUCCAUGGGCUCAGAACCGGGUCCGGGUCCGUGGUUCUGGUCGUUCUGGGCUGUUGGUUCCGGGUCGGAACCGGGUAAAGGGCGGAGGGGGCGGGGCCAGAAAGGGGGCGGGGCCAGAAAGGGGCGGAGCCAAAAGGGGGCGGGGCCAAAAAGGGGCGGAGCCAGAAAGGGGGCGGAGCAAAAGGGGGCGUGGCCAAAAGUGCGGGGCCUGGAAAAGGGGCGGGGCCAAAAGGGGGCGGGGCUUAAAGGGGCGUGGCCAGAGGGCCCCAUUGAAACCCAUUGAUCCCUAUUGAUCCCCAUUGAUCCUAUUGAUCAACAUUGAUCCCCAUUGAGCCCCAUUGAUCCUAUUGAGCCCCACUGAGCCAUAUUGACUCUAUUGAUCCCCAUUGAUCCCCAUUGAACCCCAUUAACCGUAUUGAUCCCCAUUGAUCCUAUUGAGCCCCAUUGAUCCUAUUGAUCCCCAUUGACCCUAUUGAUCCCCAUUGAGUCCAUUGAUCCCCAUUGAGCCCCAUUGACCCUAUUGAUCCCCAUUGAUCCCCAUUGAGCCCAUUGAUCCCUAUUGAUCCCCAUUGAUCCCCAUUGAUCCUACUGAUCCUAUUGAGCCCCAUUGAGCCCUAUUGAUCCCCAUUGAUCCCCAUUGACUCUAUUGAGCCCCAUUGAGCCCUAUUGAUUCCAUUGAUCCCCAUUGGUCCCCAUUGACUCUAUUGUGCCCCAUUGACCCUAUUGAUCCCCAUUGACCCUAUUGAUCCCCAUUAAGCCCCAUUGACCCUAUUGAUCCCCAUUGGUCCCCAUUGACUCUAUUGAGCCCCAUUGAGCCCUAUUGAUCCCCAUUGAUUCUAUUGAUCCCCAUU
ensembl:lncRNA